CCAUCGCCGCCUUGGCUAAGAUCAAGUGUAGUAUCUGUUCUUAUCAGUUUAAUAUCUGAUAUGUCCCUCUAUAUGGGGAUUAAAUAUUAAAUGCAUUUUGAGCAGUGGGAGGUGAAAACUCAGCUUGCUCUUCAAUUUUUGCAUUGACCUUACACAGUGCCACCAGGAACGGUGCACCAUUC